UCACAACUCAAGAAGAGAGGGUAAUUCUGGUCCUGGCCCUGAUUCCUCGCCAUUGCGUAGUGUUAAAGAUAUUGCAGUUGGUUUUAAUAGAGACAGUGAACCAGUUCCACCACCUGUACCUAAGAAAAUGCAUAAACAGCAGUCAUCUUUACAGGCUCUAAAGAAUGGUGAAUCAUAGAAAACUGCAAUCAUCAUUAUUAUUGUUGUUGUUGUUAUUAUUAUUAUUAUUAUUAUUAUUAUUAUUAUUAUUAUUAAUUAGUGUUUGACUUAAUUCAUUUUUGUGACACCUUUUUUUAAAAGACGCUUUCUUAUAGCUCUCGAU